ACGUCGAUUGCCUUUUUCCAUUGAUCUAAACCAAACAAUAACAGAUGAAAUAGACCAUAUAGAUGAUAAAAUUUGUGGAGAUCAACCAUCAAUGGCCAAUGUUAUCCCCACUCAGACAUUUCAACAAGCCAAUCCAGUUUUAAAUGAUCAACAAAUACAUGAAGAACAUAUGUUGCCCUUUCCUACGGAUCUUAACCAAACAACAACAAUGGAUGCAAUGCAAACUAG